UACGGAGGGUGCAAACGUUGCUCGGAAUCAUUGGGCGUAAAGCGCACGUAGGCGGUUUGUUAAGUCGGGUGUGAAAGCCCUGGGCUCAACCCAGGAAGUGCACUCGAAACUGGCAGGCUUGAAUAUGGAAGAGGGUCGCGGAAUUCCCGGUGUAGAGGUGAAAUUCGUAGAUAUCGGGAGGAACACCAGUGGCGAAGGCGGCGACCUGGGCCAAUAUUGACGCUGAGGUGCGAAAGCGUGGGGAGCGAACAGG
rnacentral:rRNA from 1 species